GUACAGAGGUCUCAAGCGUUGUUCGGAUUCAUUGGGCGUAAAGGGUGCGUAGGUGGCGCCGUAAGUCGGGUGUGAAAUUUCGGAGCUUAACUCCGAAACUGCAUUCGAUACUGCGGUGCUUGAGGACUGAGAGAGACGAGUGAAUUCAUGGUGUAGCAGUGAAAUGCGUAGAGAUCAUGAGGAAGACCAGUGGCGAAGGCGGGUCUCUGGACAGUUCCUGACACUGAGGCACGAAGGCCAGGGGGAGCAAACGGG
rnacentral:rRNA from 1 species